rnacentral:rRNA from 1 species
UACAGAGGGGGCAAGCGUUAUUCGGAAUUACUGGGCGUAAAGGGCUCGUAGGCGGCCAACUAAGUCGGAUGUGAAAUCCCCAGGCUUAACCUGGGAACUGCAUCCGAUACUGGAUGGCUUGAAUCCGGGAGAGGGAUGCGGAAUUCCAGGUGUAGCGGUGAAAUGCGUAGAUAUCUGGAGGAACACCGGUGGCGAAGGCGGCAUCCUGGACCGGCAUUGACGCUGAGGAGCGAAAGCCAGGGGAGCAAACGGG